GUCAUGAGCAGAUGAGACAAAACUUUUAUUCUGAAGGUGUCAGACCGGAUGUGUCCGUUGUUAUUCAUCCUGUAGAAACAAACUUAGGUCGGUGAUAAACAUCAGCAGGACAGACACACUGAUCCUCUGUUCUGAUCGUCACACAACAUGUGAGUUUAAUGUUUCUGUAAGUAGCUUUAACAUGUUAACACACUUGUUGCCGACGGUAGCUAAUCUAUUAGCUUGUAGCCUGACUAGCUUAAAUAACAGCAUCGAAAACCAAGCUGCUAUCGAGUGAUGACCCCGUCCACCUCAUGAUCUAUGGAUCCUCCUCCACCCUGGAUCUCUCUGGAUCUAAUUGUACAAAAUAGUGGAACCAUCACAUGACAGAGGACUUUGAGGAAUUCAAGCAGCAGCUGCAGAGCCUGCAGCCUGUCUGGCCUUUGACUUCGCCUGUGGCCUCCAUGAAAGACACUCAACACUUUCACAGGAGUGUUCCAAGCAACAUGAGUGACUUAACAGAGUUUGAAAGGUGCCAAAUAGUUGCUGCAAGACUCUCCGGCGCAUCUGUCACAAAAACUGCACAGCUGUUCAAUGUGGCGCGGGGAACGGUCUCCAGAGUCAUGACAGUGUACGUCAAACAUGGACGAACAACAUCGGCAAAGAAGAACAGCGGGCGCAAGUCAAAGCUCACAGAAAAGGACAGACAAACGCUUCUCAGGAUAGUCGAGGAACACCCUGAAUAUACAGCCUCAAACAUAACUUCAGAGCUGAACACACACCUCUCUCACGCCGUCUCGGUGAAAACUAUAAGGCGCGAGCUUCACAAAGCUGGUAUUUUUAGAGGAGCAGCCAAUCGGAGGCCAGAGACUGACGCACAAGAUCCAGAUGGAAACAACACUAAACCUGAACUCGACAAAGGUUGUGACACACUGAAACCUAGUGAAGAUAGGACAAGACCUGAAAUGCAAACAAAGGAAGGACAGGGAACAAUAUCUGAAUAUCUGAACCCCAGGCUGGUGUCGAAGAGUACAACACAGAAAAGUCAGUAAAGAGGAUACAAUAUGUAGCAUGAUCGUGUUAAGGGAAAACCACACAAUGCCUGCAUUCCUUAAUGUCACCCACUAUCAAAUAGGCUCAUGGCUGUUUAAUAACGUGGAUUAUAAUAAUGCAGAUUUUAUUAUUUAUUUUUGCAUGAAUGCAUCAUAGUGCAAUAGUAAGGCUUUUUGUAGGAGUUUUCAUUUUUCCUGGUUUACAAGGAAACAUAACUUUAAUAUGGAUUAUUGAGAAAUAGUCUUAAUAGUUGAAAAUAUCCCUGCUGUUUACAGCCAAAUUUGUGUUGUGAGUGGUGUAUUAUGUGAAUAUGUUUGUCCUUUAAGAAAGAUUUGUAAACCCCACAGAGAGAAAUCACAUUUGUGAAUUUGAGCAAUGCAAAUAAACUUUGAUUGAUUGACUUGA